UGUGAGUCGACCCCUAAGGCGAGGCCGAAAGGCGUAGUCGAUGGGAAACAGGUUAAUAUUCCUGUACUUGGUGUUACUGCGAAGGGGGGACGGAGAAGGCUAUGUUGGCCGGGCGACGGUUGUCCCGGUUUAAGCGUGUAGGCUGGUUUUCCAGGCAAAUCCGGAAAAUCAAGGCUGAGGCGUGAUGACGAGGCACUACGGUGCUGAAGCAACAAAUGCCCUGCUUCCAGGAAAAGCCUCUAAGCAUCAGGUAACAUCAAAUCGUACCCCAAACCGACACAGGUGGUCAGGUAGAGAAUACCAAGGCGCUUGAGAGAACUCGGGUGGAGGAACUAGGCAAAAUGGUGCCGUAACUUCGGGAGAAGGCACGCUGAUAUGUAGGUGAAGCGACUUGCUCGUGGAGCUGAAAUCAGUCGAAGAUACCAGCUGGCUGCAACUGUUUAUUAAAAACACAGCACUGUGCAAACACGAAAGUGGACGUAUACGGUGUGACGCCUGCCCGGUGCCGGAAGGUUAAUUGAUGGGGUCAGCGCAAGCGAAGCUCUUGAUCGAAGCCCCGGUAAACGGCGGCCGUAACUAUAACGGUCCUAAGGUAGCGAAAUUCCUUGUCGGGUAAGUUCCGACCUGCACGAAUGGCGUAAUGAUGGCCAGGCUGUCUCCACCCGAGACUCAGUGAAAUUGAACUCGCUGUGAAGAUGCAGUGUACCCGCGGCAAGACGGAAAGACCCCGUGAACCUUUACUAUAGCUUGACACUGAACAUUGAGCCUUGAUGUGUAGGAUAGGUGGGAGGCUUUGAAGUGUGGACGCCAGUCUGCAUGGAGCCGACCUUGAAAUACCACCCUUUAAUGUUUGAUGUUCUAACGUGGACCCGUGAUCCGGGUUGCGGACAGUGUCUGGUGGGUAGUUUGACUGGGGCGGUCUCCUCCUAAAGAGUAACGGAGGAGCACGAAGGUUGGCUAAUCCUGGUCGGACAUCAGGAGGUUAGUGCAAUGGCAUAAGCCAGCUUGACUGCGAGCGUGACGGCCCGAGCAGGUGCGAAAGCAGGUCAUAGUGAUCCGGUGGUUCUGAAUGGAAGGGCCAUCGCUCAACGGAUAAAAGGUACUCCGGGGAUAACAGGCUGAUACCGCCCAAGAGUUCAUAUCGACGGCGGUGUUUGGCACCUCGAUGUCGGCUCAUCACAUCCUGGAGCUGAAGUAGGUCCCAAGGGUAUGGCUGUUCGCCAUUUAAAGUGGUACGCGAGCUGGGUUUAGAACGUCGUGAGACAGUUCGGUCCCUAUCUGCCGUGGGCGCUGGAGAACUGAGGGGGGCUGCUCCUAGUACGAGAGGACCGGAGUGGACGCAUCACUGGUGUUCGGGUUGUCAUGCCAAUGGCACUGCCCGGUAGCUAAAUGCGGAGGAGAUAAGUGCUGAAAGCAUCUAAGCACGAAACUUGCCCCGAGAUGAGUUCUCCCUGACUCCUUGAGAGUCCUGAAGGAACGUUGAAGACGACGACGUUGAUAGGCCGGGUGUGUAAGCGCGGCGAUGCGUUGAGCUAACCGGUACUAAUGAACCGUGAGGCUUAACCUU
rnacentral:rRNA from 1 species